rnacentral:rRNA from 1 species
GACGUAGGGCGCGAGCGUUGUCCGGAUUUAUUGGGCGUAAAGAGCUCGUAGGCGGUUUGUCACGGUCUGCUGUGAAAACUGGAGGCUCAACCUCCAGCCUGCAGUGGGUACGGGCAGACUAGAGUGCGGUAGGGAGAUUGGAAUUCCUGGUGUAGCGGUGGAAUGCGCAGAUAUCAGGAGGAACACCGAUGGCGAAGGCAGAUCUCUGGGCCGUAACUGACGCUGAGGAGCGAAAGCAUGGGGAGCGAACAGG